rnacentral:rRNA from 1 species
CGAACGCUGGCGGCAUGCCUAACACAUGCAAGUCGAACGAGACCUUCGGGUCUAGUGGCGCACGGGUGCGUAACGCGUGGGAAUCUGCCUUAGGUUCGGAAUAACUUCGGGAAACUGAAGCUAAUACCGGAUGAUGACGUAAGUCCAAAGAUUUAUCGCCUAAGGAUGAGCCCGCGUUGGAUUAGCUAGUUGGUGAGGUAAAGGCUCACCAAGGCGACGAUCCAUAGCUGGUCUGAGAGGAUGAUCAGCCACACUGGGACUGAGACACGGCCCAGACUCCUACGGGAGGCAGCAGUGGGGAAUAUUGGACAAUGGGCGAAAGCCUGAUCCAGCAAUGCCGCGUGAGUGAUGAAGGCCUUAGGGUUGUAAAGCUCUUUUACCCGGGAUGAUAAUGACAGUAUCGGGAGAAUAAGCUCCGGCUAACUCCGUG